rnacentral:rRNA from 1 species
ACUAAGCGUACACGGUGGAUGCCUAGGCAGUCAGAGGCGAUGAAGGGCGUGCUAAUCUGCGAAAAGCGUCGGUAAGCUGAUAUGAAGCGUAAUAACCGACGAUACCCGAAUGGGGAAACCCAGUGCAAUUCGUUGCACUAUUGCAUGGUGAAUACAUAGCCAUGCAAGGCGAACCGGGGGAACUGAAACAUCUAAGUACCCCGAGGAAAAGAAAUCAACCGAGAUUCCCCCAGUAGCGGCGAGCGAACGGGGAAGAGCCCAGAGUCUGAAUCAGUUGGUGUGUUAGUGGAAGCGUCUGGAAAGUCGCACGGUACAGGGUGAUAGUCCCGUACACAAAAACACACUGGCUGUGAACUCGAUGAGUAGGGCGGGACACGUGACAUCCUGUCUGAAUAUGGGGGGACCAUCCUCCAAGGCUAAAUACUCCUGACUGACCGAUAGUGAACCAGUACCGUGAGGGAAAGGCGAAAAGAACCCCGGCGAGGGGAGUGAAAUAGAACCUGAAACCGUGUACGUACAAGCAGUGGGAGCACCUUCGUGGUGUGACUGCGUACCUUUUGUAUAAUGGGUCAGCGACUUAUAUUUUGUAGCAAGGUUAACCGAAUAGGGGAGCCGUAGGGAAACCGAGUCUUAACUGGGCGUCUAGUUGCAAGGUAUAGACCCGAAACCCGGUGAUCUAGCCAUGGGCAGGUUGAAGGUUGGGUAACACUAACUGGAGGACCGAACCGACUAAUGUUGAAAAAUUAGCGGAUGACUUGUGGCUGGGGGUGAAAGGCCAAUCAAACCGGGAGAUAGCUGGUUCUCCCCGAAAGCUAUUUAGGUAGCGCCUCGUGAACUCAUCUUCGGGGGUAGAGCACUGUUUCGGCUAGGGGUCCAUCCCGGAUUACCAAACCGAUGCAAACUCCGAAUACCGAAGAAUGUUAUCACGGGAGACACACGGCGGGUGCUAACGUCCGUCGUGAAGAGGGAAACAACCCAGACCGCCAGCUAAGGUCCCAAAGUCAUGGUUAAGUGGGAAACGAUGUGGGAAGGCAUAGACAGCCAGGAUGUUGGCUUAGAAGCAGCCAUCAUUUAAAGAAAGCGUAAUAGCUCACUGGUCGAGUCGGCCUGCGCGGAAGAUGUAACGGGGCUAAACCAUGCACCGAAGCUGCGGCAGCGACGCUUAGGCGUUGUUGGGUAGGGGAGCGUUCUGUAAGCCGUUGAAGGUGGCCUGUGAGGGCUGCUGGAGGUAUCAGAAGUGCGAAUGCUGACAUAAGUAACGAUAAUGCGGGUGAAAAACCCGCACGCCGGAAGACCAAGGGUUCCUGUCCAACGUUAAUCGGGGCAGGGUGAGUCGACCCCUAAGGCGAGGCUGAAAAGCGUAGUCGAUGGGAAACAGGUUAAUAUUCCUGUACUGGGUGUGACUGCGAAGGGGGGACGGAGAAGGCUAGGCUAGCCGGGCGACGGUUGUCCCGGUUUAAGCAUGUAGGCGGAGUGACUUGGUAAAUCCGGUUGCUUAUCAACGCUGAGGUGUGAUGACGAGCCACUACGGUGGUGAAGUAGUUGAUGCCAAGCUUCCAGGAAAAGCCUCUAAGCAUCAGGUGACAUUCAAUCGUACCCCAAACCGACACAGGUGGUCAGGUAGAGAAUACUCAGGCGCUUGAGAGAACUCGGGUGAAGGAACUAGGCAAAAUGGUGCCGUAACUUCGGGAGAAGGCACGCUGGCAUUAGGUAAAGAGACUUGCUCUCGGCGCCGAAGCCAGUCGCAGAUACCAGCUGGCUGCAACUGUUUAAUAAAAACACAGCACUGUGCAAACACGAAAGUGGACGUAUACGGUGUGACGCCUGCCCGGUGCUGGAAGGUUAAUUGAUGGGGUCAGCCGCAAGGCGAAGCUCUUGAUCGAAGCCCCAGUAAACGGCGGCCGUAACUAUAACGGUCCUAAGGUAGCGAAAUUCCUUGUCGGGUAAGUUCCGACCUGCACGAAUGGCGUAAUGAUGGCCAGGCUGUCUCCACCCGAGACUCAGUGAAAUUGAACUCGCUGUGAAGAUGCAGUGUACCCGCGGCAAGACGGAAAGACCCCGUGAACCUUUACUAUAGCUUGACACUGAAUAUUGAGCCUUGAUGUGUAGGAUAGGUGGGAGGCAUCGAAGCGUGGACGCCAGUCUGCGUGGAGCCAACCUUGAAAUACCACCCUUUAAUGUUUGAUGUUCUAACUCGGCCCCAUAAUCUGGGGUGAGGACAGUGUCUGGUGGGUAGUUUGACUGGGGCGGUCUCCUCCCAAAGAGUAACGGAGGAGCACGAAGGUUAGCUAAUCACGGUCGGACAUCGUGAGGUUAGUGCAAAGGCAUAAGCUAGCUUGACUGCGAGAGUGACGGCUCGAGCAGGUACGAAAGUAGGUCUUAGUGAUCCGGUGGUUCUGAAUGGAAGGGCCAUCGCUCAACGGAUAAAAGGUACUCCGGGGAUAACAGGCUGAUACCGCCCAAGAGUUCAUAUCGACGGCGGUGUUUGGCACCUCGAUGUCGGCUCAUCACAUCCUGGGGCUGAAGUAGGUCCCAAGGGUAUGGCUGUUCGCCAUUUAAAGUGGUACGCGAGCUGGGUUUAGAACGUCGUGAGACAGUUCGGUCCCUAUCUGCCGUGGGCGUUGGAAGAUUGAGAGGGGCUGCUCCUAGUACGAGAGGACCGGAGUGGACGCAUCACUGGUGUUCGGGUUGUCAUGCCAAUGGCAUUGCCCGGUAGCUAAAUGCGGAAAAGAUAAGCGCUGAAAGCAUCUAAGCGCGAAACUUGCCUCGAGAUGAGUCUUCCCUGGGGCUUUAAGCCCCCUGAAGGAACGUUAAAGACUAUGACGUUGAUAGGCUGGGUGUGUAAGUGCAGCGAUGCAUUGAGCUAACCAGUACUAAUGAUCCGUGAGGCUUAACC